UUGAUGUGUAGGAUAGGUGGGAGGCUUUGAAGUGUGGACGCCAGUCUGCAUGGAGCCGACCUUGAAAUACCACCCUUUAAUGUUUGAUGUUCUAACGUGGACCCGUGAUCCGGGUUGCGGACAGUGUCUGGUGGGUAGUUUGACUGGGGCGGUCUCCUCCUAAAGAGUAACGGAGGAGCACGAAGGUUGGCUAAUCCUGGUCGGACAUCAGGAGGUUAGUGCAAUGGCAUAAGCCAGCUUGACUGCGAGCGUGACGGCGCGAGCAGGUGCGAAAGCAGGUCAUAGUGAUCCGGUGGUUCUGAAUGGAAGGGCCAUCGCUCAACGGAUAAAAGGUACUCCGGGGAUAACAGGCUGAUACCGCCCAAGAGUUCAUAUCGACGGCGGUGUUUGGCACCUCGAUGUCGGCUCAUCACAUCCUGGGGCUGAAGUAGGUCCCAAGGGUAUGGCUGUUCGCCAUUUAAAGUGGUACGCGAGCUGGGUUUAGAACGUCGUGAGACAGUUCGGUCCCUAUCUGCCGUGGGCGCUGGAGAACUGAGGGGGGCUGCUCCUAGUACGAGAGGACCGGAGUGGACGCAUCACUGGUGUUCGGGUUGUCAUGCCAAUGGCACUGCCCGGUAGCUAAAUGCGGAAGAGAUAAGUGCUGAAAGCAUCUAAGCACGAAACUUGCCCCGAGAUGAGUUCUCCCUGACCCUUUAAGGGUCCUGAAGGAACGUUGAAGACGACGACGUUGAUAGGCCGGGUGUGUAAGCGCAGCGAUGCGUUGAGCUAACCGGUACUAAUGAACCGUGAGGCUUAACCUU
rnacentral:rRNA from 1 species